rnacentral:rRNA from 1 species
CCUAGGGAGGCAGCAGUGAGGAAUAUUGCACAAUGGGGGGAACCCUGAUGCAGCAACGCCGCGUGGAGGAUGACGCAUUUCGGUGUGUAAACUCCUUUUAUAUGUCAAGAAAAUGACGGUAGCAUAUGAAUAAGCACCGGCUAACUCCGUGCCAGCAGCCGCGGUAAUACGGAGGGUGCAAGCGUUACUCGGAAUCACUGGGCGUAAAGGACGCGUAGGCGGGUUGGAAAGUCAGGUGUGAAAUCCUACAGCUUAACUGUAGAACUGCACUUGAAACUUCUAAUCUAGAGUAUGGGAGGGGGAGAUGGAAUUAGUGGUGUAGGGGUAAAAUCCGUAGAUAUCACUAGGAAUACCUAAAGCGAAGGCGAUCUCCUGGAACAUUACUGACGCUAAGGCGUGAAAGCGUGGGGAGCAAACAGGAUUAGAUACCCCAGUAGUC